CUCUGAACUUUUCUGCCUCCGGACUUCCCCAUAUUCCUCCUCUAGUCUUCACAACAAGUUUUCUUAUUCCCCUCUUGUUUACCUUCAAAUACUGAAGGAUUCGGAGGAGGUGGACCUUCCGUGGGGUCGGAGGUCAAAGGUCGAUUAUUCAAGUUUUCCGGCAAUGCUCGGUGGCUGGCGGUGGGGUCGGCCGACCCCACCUGGGUCCGUCAGUGAUUAUAGUCCGAGUCGAAUGGAGAGUCAAGCCGCACCGAGAAGCCUCUCGCUAAACCUCCGCCGCCGUUCCUCUCAACAGCCACCGCGUCUUCAGUCCAAACGAUUGAUGGGGAAAUAGAUAAACAAAUUUCUGUUUGGAGAAAGCACAGAGCAGUGUUGUGCCACUUUUUCUUAUUCUAGCCUUUAUGCGCAAGGUCAAAUGAGCUCUUUGUGCUAAGCCAGGCCACUUAUCACAUUCACAACGAGUUUAUGAGGCCAGAAUCGGUCCACCCACCCAGAGCUCAAAUGCAUUUCUACUUCUCCCCCCCCCCCCGCUUAGUCAGGAGGUGGAUUUUCCAUGAUAUUUGCAUCUCUACUUCUGACCAAAUAAGUGGUAGCAUGUGGUAGCAUUUACUCAUCUGGCCUUGUUAGCAUUGGAAUUGGUGCUAUGGCCCAGACACUGGAAAUUGGCUCUGACGAUAUAGAACCUGUUGGAUCCCAGAUUCCCAUACAAGUUCCUUCAUCUCACAUUUCAAUUGGUGAUGGUCCACAAACUCCGAAAAUGACAUCAUUCCUUCAGUCUCUCAUGCUUUGCCCAGCUACUGAUGGAACCUUCCAGUUACGCAAAAGAACCUGGAAAUGCUGCACAUCCUACUAAUGCAGCUCAGUCUUCCGAGCAUCCUGGGACAAAAGCCACUUAUAACCUUUGGUGAUGCAUUAGAUAUGUACCAUACCAUCUCAGAGAAGGAGUUGAGGAGGAGCUAACUUCUAAAGGGGUUAUUAGUGUAGACUUCAUUUUUCUCAUGGGUUGAUCUGCAAACUUAGUUGUUGCUUACUAACUUCUGGAGUCCUAGGUUUCCCAUGCUUCAAAUAAGUGAUAACAGUGUUCUUUGUUGUCCGAUUUCUUGAGCUAAGGAGAGAGAACAAUUCCGGUUUUGAAAAAUUAAUUGAAAAAGUCAUAGGGCCGAUCGACUGAAUGAGAGCUUUAUGAGUUGCAAUCUUGUUGAUAUUGGUGCAUAAAAAUGAUUUAGGCAAUAGGAAUAAAAGCCUCAUAUCCAAAUUAUCACAUGCCU